UGCGUAGGUGGUGAGGUAAGUCGGAUGUGAAAGCUCCGAGCUCAACUCGGAAAUGGCAUUGGAAACUACCUUGCUCGAGGGUUUGAGGGGGGACUGGAAUACUUGGUGUAGCAGUGAAAUGCGUAGAUAUCAAGUAGAACACCAGUGGCGAAGGCGAGUCCCUGGAAAACUCCUGACACUGAGGCACGAAAGCUAGGGAGCAAAACA
rnacentral:rRNA from 1 species